GCCAGUGUGGUGUAGUGGUUAGAGUGUCAGACUAGGACCUCGGAGCCCAGGGUUCAAAUCCCUACUCAGCCAGGUA
rnacentral:tRNA from 1 species